CAGCAGUAGCCGCGGUAAUACGGAGGGUGCAGGCGUUAAUCGGAAUUACUGGGCGUAAAGCGCGCGUAGGUGGUUUGUUAAGUUGAAUGUGAAAUCCCCGGGCUCAACCUGGGGACUGCAUCCAAAACUGGCAAGCUAGAGUAGGGCAGAGGGUGGUGGAAUUUCCUGUGUAGUGGUGAAAUGCGUAGAUAUAGGAAGGAACACCAGUGGCGAAGGCGACCACCUGGGCUCAUACUGACACUGAGGUGCGAAAGCGUGGGGAGCAAACAGGAUUAGAUACCCCCGUAGUCCCUGUCUCUUAUAC
rnacentral:rRNA from 1 species